rnacentral:rRNA from 1 species
CCUUCGGGGUACUCGAGCGGCGAACGGGUGAGUAACACGUGAGCAACCUGCCCCAAGCUUUGGGAUAACCCCGGGAAACCGGGGCUAAUACCGAAUAGGACUUCUGGCCGCAUGGCUGGUGGUGGAAAGUUUUUCGGCUUGGGAUGGGCUCGCGGCCUAUCAGCUUGUUGGUGGGGUGAUGGCCUACCAAGGCGACGACGGGUAGCCGGCCUGAGAGGGCGACCGGCCACACUGGGACUGAGACACGGCCCAGACUCCUACGGGAGGCAGCAGUGGGGAAUAUUGCACAAUGGGCGGAAGCCUGAUGCAGCGACGCCGCGUGAGGGAUGACGGCCUUCGGGUUGUAAACCUCUUUCAGCAGGGACGAAGCGAGAGUGACGGUACCUGCAGAAGAAGCGCCGGCCAACUACGUGCCAGCAGCCGCGGUAAGACGUAGGGCGCGAGCGUUGUCCGGAUUUAUUGGGCGUAAAGAGCUCGUAGGCGGCUUGUCGCGUCGACCGUGAAAACUUGGGGCUCAACCCCAAGCCUGCGGUCGAUACGGGCAGGCUAGAGUUCGGUAGGGGAGACUGGAAUUCCUGGUGUAGCGGUGAAAUGCGCAGAU